rnacentral:rRNA from 1 species
UACGAAGGGGGCGAGCGUUGUUCGGAAUUACUGGGCGUAAAGGGCGCGUAGGCGGCCGAUCAAGUCAGAUGUGAAAGUCCUGGGCUUAACCUGGGGACUGCAUUUGAUACUGAUUGGCUUGAAUUCGGGAGAGGAUAGCGGAAUUCCCAGUGUAGAGGUGAAAUUCGUAGAUAUUCGGAAGAACACCAGUGGCGAAGGCGACUCGCUGGACAGACAUUGACGCUGAGGUGCGAAAGCGUGGGGAGCAAACAGG